rnacentral:rRNA from 1 species
AGAGUUUUGAUCCUGGCUCAGAUUGAACGCUGGCGGCAGGCCUAACACAUGCAAGUCGAGCGGAUGAGAGGAGCUUGCUCCUCGAUUCAGCGGCGGACGGGUGAGUAAUGCCUAGGAAUCUGCCUAGUAGUGGGGGACAACGUUUCGAAAGGAACGCUAAUACCGCAUACGUCCUACGGGAGAAAGUGGGGGAUCUUCGGACCUCACGCUAUUAGAUGAGCCUAGGUCGGAUUAGCUAGUUGGUAGGGUAAAGGCCUACCAAGGCGACGAUCCGUAACUGGUCUGAGAGGAUGAUCAGUCACACUGGAACUGAGACACGGUCCAGACUCCUACGGGAGGCAGCAGUGGGGAAUAUUGGGACAAUGGGCGAAAGCCUGAUCCAGCCAUGCCGCGUGUGUGAAGAAGGCCUUCGGGUCGUAAAGCACUUUAAGUUGGGGAGGAAGGGCUCAUAGCGAAUACCUGUGAGUUUUGACGUUACCAACNAGAAUAAGCACCGGCUAACUUCGUGCCAGCNAGCCGCGGUAAUACGNAGGGUGCAAGCGUUUAUCGGGAAUU